GACGAACGCUGGCGGCGUGCUUAACACAUGCAAGUCGUACGACAGCAUUUCCUUUUAGGUUGUGUUUGGAGUGGCGAACGGGUGAGUAACACGUGAGUGACCUGCCCUUCACUUUGGGAUAACGUGCGGAAACGUGCGCUAAUACCAAAUAUUCGCAUUUCUGCUGCAUGGUGGGGUGUGGAAAGGGGGCCUUCGGGUUCGUGGUGGGGGAGUGGGC
rnacentral:rRNA from 1 species